CUGUGCAAAGGUAGCAUAAUCAUUAGCUUUUUAAUUGAAGGCUUGUAUGAAGGGUCUGACAAAGAAAAAGCUGUCUUUAAAAUUAUUUUUGAAUUUAACUUUUAAGUGAAAAGGCUUAAAUAAAUUUAAGGGACGAUAAGACCCUAUAAAUCUUUAUAUUAUAUUAUUAUUCUGAAUUUUAAUAUUUGUUUAGAUUGUUAGGUAAAAUAAUAAAUAUUUUGUUGGGGUGACGAGAAUAUAAAAAUAACUGUUCUUAAAGGAAACAAAGUUAUUUGUUGAAAAAUUAUAGAUCCUUUUUAAAGAUUAAAAGUUUAAGUUACUUUAGGGAUAACAGCGUUAUUUUUUUUGAGAGUUCUUAUCGAAAAAAGAGUUUGCGACCUCGAUGUUGAAUUAAAAUUUCUCUACGGUGUAGAAGUUGUAGAAGAGAGUCUGUUCGACUUUUGAAAUUUU
rnacentral:rRNA from 1 species